GGGUUGUGAGGUUAAGCGACUAAGCGUACACGGUGGAUGCCCUGGCAGUCAGAGGCGAUGAAGGGCGUGCUAAUCUGCGAUAAGCGCCGGUAAGGUGAUAUGAACCGUUAUAACCGGCGAUACCCGAAUGGGGAAACCCAGUGUGACUCGUCACACUAUCAUUAACUGAAUCCAUAGGUUAAUGAGGCGAACCGGGGGAACUGAAACAUCUAAGUACCCCGAGGAAAAGAAAUCAACCGAGAUUCCCCCAGUAGCGGCGAGCGAACGGGGAGGAGCCCAGAGCCUGAAUCAGCAUGUGUGUUAGUGGAAGCGUCUGGAAAGGCGCGCGAUACAGGGUGACAGCCCCGUACACAAAAGCGCAUGUGCUGUGAGCUCGAUGAGUAGGGCGGGACACGUGGUAUCCUGUCUGAAUAUGGGGGGACCAUCCUCCAAGGCUAAAUACUCCUGACUGACCGAUAGUGAACCAGUACCGUGAGGGAAAGGCGAAAAGAACCCCGGCGAGGGGAGUGAAAAAGAACCUGAAACCGUGUACGUACAAGCAGUGGGAGCCCCACCACCAAAGCAUUCUCUGGUGUUGAAGGCCCUGCAAAGCAGCAUCGCGGUGGCGGAGCGUCGUUUGCGACGCCCAACACACAAAACAAGCGGUGAGUGCUUUGGGGUGGGGUGACUGCGUACCUUUUGUAUAAUGGGUCAGCGACUUAUAUUCUGUAGCAAGGUUAACCGUAUAGGGGAGCCGUAGGGAAACCGAGUCUUAACCGGGCGUUAAGUUGCAGGGUAUAGACCCGAAACCCGGUGAUCUAGCCAUGGGCAGGUUGAAGGUUGGGUAACACUAACUGGAGGACCGAACCGACUAAUGUUGAAAAAUUAGCGGAUGACCUGUGGCUGGGGGUGAAAGGCCAAUCAAACCGGGAGAUAGCUGGUUCUCCCCGAAAGCUAUUUAGGUAGCGCCUCGUGAAUUCAUCUCCGGGGGUAGAGCACUGUUUCGGCUAGGGGGCCAUCCCGGCUUACCAACCCGAUGCAAACUGCGAAUACCGGAGAAUGUUAUCACGGGAGACACACGGCGGGUGCUAACGUCCGUCGUGAAGAGGGAAACAACCCAGACCGCCAGCUAAGGUCCCAAAGUCAUGGUUAAGUGGGAAACGAUGUGGGAAGGCCCAGACAGCCAGGAUGUUGGCUUAGAAGCAGCCAUCAUUUAAAGAAAGCGUAAUAGCUCACUGGUCGAGUCGGCCUGCGCGGAAGAUGUAACGGGGCUAAACCAUGCACCGAAGCUGCGGCAGCGA
rnacentral:rRNA from 1 species